GACGAGCGCUGGCGGCGUGCUUAACACAUGCAAGUCGAACGGUAAGGCCUUCGGGUACACGAGUGGCGAACGGGUGAGUAACACGUGGGUGAUCUGCCCUGCACUUUGGGAUAAGCCUGGGAAACUGGGUCUAAUACCGAAUAGGAACACGGCCUUCAUGGGCGGUGGUGGAAAGCUUUUGCGGUGUGGGAUGGGCCCGCGGCCUAGGGGCUUGGUGGUGGGGUAAUGGACUACCAAAGCGACGACGGGUAGCCGGCCUGAGAGGGUGACCGGCCACAAUGGGACUGAGAUACGGCCCAGACUCCUACGGGAGGCAGCAGUGGGGAAUAUUGCACAAUGGGCGCAAGCCUGAUGCAGCGACGCCGCGUGAGGGAUGACGGCCUUCGGGUUGUAAACCUCUUUCAGUAGGGACGAAGCGCAAGUGACGGUACCUAUAGAAGAAGGACCGGCCAACUACGUGCCAGCAGCCGCCGUAAUAC
rnacentral:rRNA from 1 species